rnacentral:rRNA from 1 species
UACGUAGGGGGCAAGCGUUAUCCGGAAUUAUUGGGCGUAAAGAGUGCGUAGGUGGUUACCUAAGCAGGGGGUGAAAGGCACUGGCUUAACCAAUGUCAGCCCCCUGAACUGGGCUACUUGAGUGCAGGAGAGGAAAGUGGAAUUCCUAGUGUAGCGGUGAAAUGCGUAGAUAUUAGGAGGAACACCAGUGGCGAAGGCGACUUUCUGGACUGUUACUGACACUGAGGCACGAAAGUGUGGGGAGC